rnacentral:rRNA from 1 species
CUUGGUCAUUUAGAGGAAGUAAAAGUCGUAACAAGGUUUCCGUAGGUGGACCUGCGGAAGGAUCAUUAUCGAAAUAUAGCAUGACGCGAGUUGUCGCUGGCCUUUUCCACCGUGCACGCUCCGUCCUUCUUCAUUUCUCCAUCUAUUUGUGCACCAUUUGCGUGGAUCUCGAGACUUCCUCGGAUUAUUAGGACUGCUUUGCAAAACCUUUGUGGGCUUUCCUUGUCAUUCCACGUCUUACCUUCACAUACACCAGUGUAAAUAUUCAGAAGGACAUGAAAUAGUAAAUACAACUUUCAGCAACGGAUCUCUUGGCUCUCGCAUCGAUGAAGAACGCAGCGAAAUGCGAUAAGUAAUGUGAAUUGCAGAAUUCAGUGAAUCAUCGAAUCUUUGAACGCAUCUUGCGCUCCUUGGUAUUCCGAGGAGCAUGCCUGUUUGAGUGUCAUUAAUAUCUCAACCACACCCAGGGGCGUGGCUUGGAUUUGGGGGUUACAGGCUCUGAAUUGUAGUCUGCUCCCCUGAAAUGCAUGAGCGGCAACGACCUCUCCGUUAGAUGUGAUACAUUAUCUGCAUCCGAUCGAGGGUUUUGCCGCCAUAAGAGUUGGAUCGAUAAACUUGACCUCAAAUCAGGUAGGACCACCUGCUGAACUUAAGCAUAUCAAUAAGCGGAGGA